CUGCCUGUUGUAGAAACCAACCCCUCCGCUUAUCCACAGGCUAAGCACGGCUCAGACACGCGGCGUCUGAGCUCCCCGCACAGUCACGGCGGUGAACUUAGGCUUGAACGGGAGGAAUUGCCUCUCUGCAAGAUGAGAGGGGAUUCAUUUUCCAUGCUAGCUCUUUCCUGGGGGGCU
rnacentral:sRNA from 1 species